rnacentral:rRNA from 1 species
GACGAACGCUGGCGGCGUGCCUAAUACAUGCAAGUAGGACGCAGUUGCGAACGGGGGAGUAACGCGUAGGUAACUACCUAUUAGAGGGGGAGAACUAUUGGAAACGAUAGCUAAUACCGCAUACUAGUAGAUGGACCUGUGUUACAUUAGCUAGUAGGUAGGGUAAUGGCCCACCUAGGCAACGAUACAUAGCCGAGCUGGGAAGGUGAACGGACACACUGGGACUGAGACACGGCCCAAACUCCUACGGGAGGCAGCAGUAGGGAGUCUUCGGCAAUGGGGGGAACCCUGACCGAGCAACGCCGCGUGAGUGGAGAAGGUUUUCGGAUCGUAAGGCUCUGUUGUUAAGGAAGCGGUACUUAGCCAGAAAGGGACGGCUAACUACGUGCCAGCAGCCGCGGUAAUUC